GCCCGCUCAAGAAACUCAAAGGAAUUCGACGGGGCCCGCACAAGCGGUGGAGCAUGUGGUUAAUUCGAAGCAACGCGAAGAACCUUACCUGGUCUUGACAUCCCGGAGACCCUUAGGAAACUAGGGGUGCUUCCAUCUGGAAGAAUCUGGAGACAGGUGCUGCAUGGCUGUCGUCAGCUCGUGUCGUGAGAUGUUGGGUUAAGUCCCGCAACGAGCGCAACCCUUGCCUUUAGUUGCCAGCAGUUCGGCUGGGCACUCUAAAGGGACUGCCGGUGUUAAACCGGAGGAAGGUGGGGAUGACGUCAAGUCCUCAUGGCCUUUAUGACCAGGGCUACACACGUACUACAAUGGCCGAUACAAAGGGCAGCGACACUGCGAGGUGAAGCCAAUCCCGUAAAAUCGGUCUCAGUCCGGAUUGGAGUCUGCAACUCGACUCCAUGAAGUUGGAAUCGCUAGUAAUCGUGGAUCAGCAUGCCACGGUGAAUACGUUCCCGGGCCUU
rnacentral:rRNA from 1 species